GAAAGGUUGGAAUUGGAAACAAAGAGUCGUGAUAGGCCAAACGCUGUCGAGCCUUAAAGAAAGGUCCAACAGUUGCCCAAAACCAAUUGGGGGUACAAAAUCCAAAACAGCGCAUAAUCUGACCCCGGAAAAGAGUCGGCGUUCCGAAUUAGAACCACAGCUUGAAUCGAGGAAAGUCACCACAUCUUCCUCAACCUGGCGAAAUUGUUUGGUGAGGGUACUCAGUUUUCAAAAUCCGUUUUUCUGAUUUCGAGUGCCUUUUUUUUUCCGUUCUAUAUUGUUUUUGUUUCUGAUGCCUUUGGAAUUAGAGUGCCUUCUUUUUUAUUCUCAAUGUUGUCUAUUUUGAUUCCCAGUUAUGUGAUCUGUUCAUUUCUUCAUUGGAACAUCUACGGGUGUUUUAUUUUUUGAGUUGCAUGCCAAUUAAGUCAGUCAAUUGAACUUUUGCAUUUAUUUUAUCUCCCUUCAUUUCCUGAGUUUGCCCUUUGCUCCGUUUGUUUCUGAAAGUGUGGUUGCCUUUUCUGUCAAGGGUAUGUUUGGCUCUUGAGAAAGAAUGGGGAAAGGAAAGGAAAAUGAUGAAAUUAGAUUGAACAAAGAAUCCAAAUUUCCUUCAUUGCCUGGUUCUGUCUGAGAUCCGAACCUAGCCUAAGAGCCCAUAUAUUUCUAGGGAUAUUUUGCUCUAAAGUGGAUCGAAAUUCUCAUUCAUAUGUAUGUUUCAAUUGGCUCUUUGGAAUAAAAAAGAUCUGGUUCACAGACCAGAGGAAAUCAUCUUCUUUUGUAUUGGGUUUUGGUUUAUCAAGUCCCACACCAUUUUCAGCAUGUAUAGAUGAAGCAAUGCUUAGAAGGUGAGUCAACUCUGCCACAGAUUUCAAGAUUUGCUAUGCUAUAUUUUCAUAGAAAAUACAUCCUUUAUAGAGAAUGCUACACCGUUAUAAAGUAGGGCCCUGGUAUUAGUCUGAUUUGGAACAACAGCACUUGAUCUUCUGGUCCUUAAUCAAAUAUUUAUCUCAGUAGGGGUAGUUUCUUAUUUGUCAUCUUGUCUUUCCCAUAUAACAUCUCAAACAGAUGGUCCUCUAAGCUUCUUAGGUCCUCGAAUUGUCACCAUGAGGACUUAGUGGAUGAAAUGAAAGAAGACUCAAAUGUAUCAGAAAUUUAUUAUAGAUUGUGGCCUCAUCGAGAUUGUGCAAAUUGUAAUUUCAGAAUAUUGAUCACACCCUUAUUCAAUAUUUUGCCUUAUAUUUGUUGUGAUUAUAUAGAUUGAAUAGCUUUUCAGGCUUGCAUGUGGCCAAUGUCAGCAUUGAAUUCAGGCAAAAACCUUUUGGAUGCCACUACAUCGGUAUUCUAAAUAUAGUCAAAGUAUGCUACUUGGUUUUGAACCACUUGUUGAAAUGAAACAACUACAAUUAUAUGGUGGUUGGUAGGCAACAGGAGGUUUAGUCUUUUGUAAUAGUUUCAUUUAUGGAUGAUUUGUGUCAUUACUAUUCGAUGCCCAACUUCAAAAGAAAGCUCAACAAAGGGAGCAAAUGUCAUUUUCAAUGGAGAUUUGAAGGCAGAAAGGGGAAGACUUCAAGCUCAUUUUCAAGUAUCAGCAUCAACUAAAUGAAGAGUACCUGGAAAUGGUGGCAAGGUCUCUUGAUGAGUGGGAUAUAACCAGAAAGUUGGUCGGUUAUUUCUCAACUCCAGGGCUGCCCCAUCUCAUGGGGAUGUGACUUUCCUGCCAAUUUGGUUUACGCCAAUGUUCCAAGGGUCCCGUAUUAUGAAUACUGAAUAUAAAAGGACCUUGUUCUAGCUACAGUUCAAUAAAGAAAUAUGCCGACGAAUUUUUGUGGAAAGGGGUAUGUGCUGCCCAUUCUCCUCUGUUCUUUGGAUUUAGAAGUUCAAGAAAUGCAGCCUGCUAGUGUGAAAAGGAGUCUAUAGAAAUCUUAACCUUGACUUCAAGCUAAACACCAAUAGCUAGAGUUCACAUGCGGAAAAGUGUUCAAUGAACUUGCAAAUACAGAACCCGAAAAAUUUAAAACAUGACCCUACACCAGGGAGUCUGCAGUGCCUGAUGGUCUGUUCUCUACAACCCUAUGAACAAUAGGUUCAACAAUAGAUUUAAAUUCCCUUUUGUAUACUACCCGUUGACUCUUUAUGCAUUAGCAAAACAUUUUUCUGCUUGCACCAUUGCUGUAGUCAAUUAUAAAGUUCCUGUUCCGUUA